GCAGGUACAAUGGAUCUUGUGGUGUUGGUGGCGUUCAGCUCCUGGCUGGCUCCUGCACUCGGAUCAGCGUUUGGCAGGGAGUUGCCUCAGUGGCAGAUGACGAGGACAAAGACUAUGACAGUGCUUUUCAUUACGAUUAUGAAUCGCUGAGAAUCGGUGGCCUGGUAUUCGCAGU